rnacentral:rRNA from 1 species
UUUUAUUUGAGAGUUUGAUCCUGGCUCAGGAUGAACGCUGGCGGCGUGCCUAACACAUGCAAGUUGAGCGAUUUACUUCGGUAAAGAGCGGCGGACGGGUGAGUAACGCGUGGGUAACCUACCCUGUACACACGGAUAACAUACCGAAAGGUAUGCUAAUACGGGAUAAUAUAUUUGAGAGGCAUCUCUUAAAUAUCAAAGGUGAGCCAGUACAGGAUGGACCCGCGUCUGAUUAGCUAGUUGGUAAGGUAACGGCUUACCAAGGCGACGAUCAGUAGCCGACCUGAGAGGGUGAUCGGCCACAUUGGAACUGAGACACGGUCCAAACUCCUACGGGAGGCAGCAGUGGGGAAUAUUGCACAAUGGGCGAAAGCCUGAUGCAGCAACGCCGCGUGAGUGAUGAAGGCCUUCGGGUCGUAAAACUCUGUCCUCAAGGAAGA